UCAUCUUAAUGUUUAUUUUUCAGCAGAUCUUCAUUGUUCGGGUAUUCUGCAUCUGGACCAGCAGAGUGAUUUGGAUCAAAUACUGCCUCCCAUGCUUCCCAGCUAUCCACGUAGAGGAGUUCUGCAGUCUUUUCCCUCGCCUAAAUGGUCUUGACCUGAGUAAGGUUGAUGUAGAAGACGGUCUCACCCACACGCCCUGAAACUACCGCAGUUGUCAACAUCUAGUGCCUUCACCUGGAUGAUCUCCAUUGUUCAGCCGCCUCAGCUUUGGAAGAUGAUAGUGGCAGGGCGGUGGGGUCAUUUUGCCCCAUAUUGAUGCUGUCGGACAGUCGGUAGCCAUCUGAUUCAUCACGAUGGACAUUCUUCUAUAUAAUGAAGGCACUAAUUAUAUACAAAUAGAUUCAGAGGUCUGAAUGUCAUUCACUCCCUGUAACGCCAGCAUCUGCAGCAUGAUGUCAUCAAUUGAGCUAGUGACAACAUCCAUGACAUUGGACUCAUGGGACUCAAAUUUCAUACAUAAACUCAGGUAGGUCUAAAGUCUUUAAAAAAUAGCAAAUGGACUAAUUCUGAGGUAGGUAAGAUUCUAAGUAUAGGAAUGAGAGUACCAAACCCCCGGAUGUUUACAUCAGAGAAAAGUUAUAGAACGUUGUAAUAAGGAAAGAAUGGGUAGGCGUUAGGCGAUUGGCUGAAUUCAGGUAUGUGACAAUUCUCAUUUUGUAGUAAAAUUAUUAGUUUUUAAAAUAAAUGAUGGAAUGGGGGAAUAUUUUAAAGAAUAUAGCAACACUAGGAAAAAUUGUAGGGGUGGGGGUUGAUUUUUUUUGUAGAGUGACAUUUACUGCCGAUCGCUGUAAGUUGUAAACAACUGCAAAUUUGACCUAUAAACGCCACGGGACCCUAUAUUUUUUUUGUCAUUUCCUGAAAGGUCUUGAAUUGAAGUUUCAAAUGAUACCAAAGAUUUGACUGAAACUAUUAUAGUAAAGUACUGAGAGGUCAUAACAUUUGUAUGGAGUUCUAUGGGAAA